rnacentral:rRNA from 1 species
AGCGGCGAACGGGUGAGUAACGCGUGGGUAAUCUGCCCAGAAGACCGGGAUAACCUUCCGAAAGGAAGGACAAUACCGGAUAACCUUUCUCCUUCACAUGGGGGAGCAAGAAAAGAUGGGCCCUAAAAGUCUUUCGCUUCUGGAUGAGCCCGCGUCCCAUUAGCUAGUUGGUAGGGUAACGGCCUACCAAGGCUAUGAUGGGUAGCCGGCCCGAGAGGGUGUCCGGCCACACUGGGACUGAGACACGGCCCAGACUCCUACGGGAGGCAGCAGUGGGGAAUCUUGCGCAAUGGGCGAAAGCCUGACGCAGCGACGCCGCGUGGAGGAAGAAGGCCUUCGGGUUGUAAACUCCUGUCGGCCGAGGAAGAAGGUCCUUUGGGCUGACGGUACUCGGCAAGGAAGCCCCGGCCAACUCCGUGCCAGCAGCCGCGGUAAGACGGAGGGGGCAAGCGUUGUUCGGAUUUAUUGGGCGUAAAGAGCGCGUAGGCGGUCUUUUCAAGUCAGAUGUGAAAGCCUUGGGCUUAACCUAAGGACUGCAUCUGAUACUGAGGGACUUGAGUUCGGUAGAGGGGAUUGGAAUUCCCGGUGUAGCGGUGAAAUGCGCAGAUACCGGGAGGAACACCAGUGGCGAAGGCGGAUCCCUGGGCCGUAACUGACGCUGAGGUGCGAAAGCUAGGGGAGCAAACAGGAUUAGAUACCCUGGUAGUCCUAGCCGUAAACGAUGGGCACUAGGUGUGGGGAGUUAUCGACUCUUCCCGUGCCGCAGCUNACGCAUUAAGUGCCCCGCCUGGGGAGUACGGCCGCAAGGCUAAAACUCAAU